AACGAACGCUGGCGGCAUGCCUAACACAUGCAAGUCGAACGAGACCUUCGGGUCUAGUGGCGCACGGGUGCGUAACGCGUGGGAACCUGCCCUUAGGUUCGGAAUAACUCCCCGAAAGGGGUGCUAAUACCGGAUAAUGUCUUCGGACCAAAGAUUUAUCGCCUUUGGAUGGGCCCGCGUUGGAUUAGCUAGUUGGUAGGGUAAAAGCCUACCAAGGCGACGAUCCAUAGCUGGUCUGAGAGGAUGAUCAGCCACACUGGGACUGGGACACGGCCCAGACGCCUGCGGGGGGCGGGGGUGGGGAAUAUGGGAAAGGGGGCAAAAGCCUGACCCAGCAAGGCCGGGUGGGGGAUGAAGGCCUUGGGGUUGUAAAGCUCUUUUACCGGGGAGGGAAAGACCGUAACGGGUAAAAAAGCCCCGGCUAAAUCCCGG
rnacentral:rRNA from 1 species